CCACGCUCACAGCUGCCGGCACUUCAGCAGAGACCACCCGUCGCCUUCGAUUCUUCUGGACCCCUACUCUCUCCUUUACACAUACAUUUAGUCCAAAGGGAAAUGAAUGUCUCGCUUGGACUCCAGGUCAACUUUGGAGGCCCACUGUUCUUAAAUGACACGGUGAUGGUGUGUUUCCCUGGAAGAGCAGUGGUGCUUCUGAAUGUUUUUAAAACAAGCUGAAUUUUCAGUUUUCACCAUCUCAGUUAUAAUGUUCAUUUGAUGGGAACAGUGACUUGGCUUUUGGAUUUUUGUUUUUUUGCAUUCUCACCUUAAUUAAGCAAGUACCCAUAGAUUGCCCACUAGCAGUCUGACAAGACCGGUGAGGCUUGGUGCCUGCCCUGUGAAGCUCCCCUACAAGUCUGCGCGAGCUCAAGGGCAGGCCUUGCCCUCAAGGGGAAAUAAUGAGGCCUUUGGUAAAAUGCAGUUUCUCUGUUAGUCCCUCAGCCAGCCCAAAGGUGCAUGUUGUCUGAUCUCUGCCUUCAACACCCUGCCCAUGCCUGAUUCCUCAGUGAGUUGGAGGAUGAAUGAAUGAAUGAAUGAAUGAAUGAAUGAAUGAAUGAAUGAAUUGAUUGUUGAGAAGGAAGAAAUGUCCUCUGCCCCUGGAAGUUCUAGCUGGUCUAGGAAUCAAACUGACAUGAAGCAGAUUAACAGGAGAGAAAAACAGAAAACCAGUUUUAACUGUACCUACGCAGAAGCCAUAGACAUGAAUUCUGAAGACAGUGAGGAGACAGAUGGCAGAGUUGCUAAGAGGUUUGGACUGAGACCCAUCUGAUUUGACCACAACUCUGCCACCUGCCAAGAAUACGAUUUUAGCAUCCACACACAGCUAUAAAGGAAAGCACUGUCUGGGGAGCAAGGGGGAGAAAGUGCUGAAGAAGCAUCUCUGAAGCAGCUACGACGUGUGAGAAGCCUGUUAGUGCUUCUUAAAGACCUUAGGCUGACAUCCUUUCUGGGAACUAUAUACGGGGAACUGACAGACAACAUUUUGCUCAGGGCAAAAAGAGAACUUUUCUUCACCCUAUGCCCAGAGAACACUCAGCUCCAACACUAGGGAGAGCUGUGUUUUCUGUUCCUUGUUUAAACAAAGAAAUGAUUGAGUGUUAUCUUUAAACAGUAACUCUACCUCCUUCUCCAAUUUCAAUGACAAACGGCCAGCCAACCUGAAAGGACAAUGUGUAAGUAUUAAAACUGUUUGCCCGUGUUUUUGUAAGAGGAGUGGCUUCUCUAUUUCUGCAAGGGCAUGCCUGCUGCAAUGUUCUUAAAGCCCUUUAGCAUCACUUUUGACACUAGCUGCUGUCGGGUUUUUAGUUUCUAAUAUCUAGAUGUCAUACCUCCUGUUAUCUAUCAAAAACUCAGCUGAUCAGAGGCACUGGUGAUGAAAGUUUGUGUGAGGCAGGUCCUGGCACAAAGAGAUGGCAAAACCUGAGAGUGGACAGAAGCAUAAAGCAACACUACAGUGUUCGCACAUUCAGGCUUCCUAGAACGAAGAUCUUAGCACACUUGCCCCAGUAGUUACUAAAAGGAUUCUGCUCAUAGACGUGCUGUGAGGUGCUCAGGAUGACUUGACCAGCCUGGUCAUCAGCUUUGAAUGCAAAAGAUCUUUAAAUCUCUGUCUGGAUAGUCUUAUUAUUUUUAUAUAGGAAUCUUCAUCCUUGACAUUAUCUCCCCUAUUUUAAAAUUCAUAAGUGGGUCCAAACACUAGAAGCAUUAAAAGAUCAGAAUUGUUCUAAAAAGAUGACUUUUAGGAUCAUUUAUUUGAGAUAAUACAUGAUUGUAAUGAUGGAGGGACAGUUUGUUAUAGCAUCUGGCUCGCGGUGGUGGGUGAUGGCUGGUGAUAACAGAGUAGCUUCAUCCUUGGACAAGGUGCGGUACAUACAGUCUAAAAAUGAGCAUCAACAGUCCAUAGAUACUGAAAGAGAAAAUUAGUUAAUAAGUUUAUCCAUACUAACCAUCUUGAGGGAGAUAAUGAACAUGGUUAUUUCACCUGCAGAGGAAAUGGUAUGACUACCAAAGAUGAGAUUUAGAGAAUUUGCAGUGGUUAACAAACUGAUGAGUCAUA